rnacentral:tRNA from 1 species
GCUCCCGAAGCGUAGAUGGUGACGCACCUGACUCGUAACCAGGAGAACGGGGUUCGAUCCCCCGCGGGAGCUCCA